rnacentral:rRNA from 1 species
GACGAACGCUGGCGGCGUGCUUAACACAUGCAAGUCGAACGGAAAGGCCCUGCUUUUGUGGGGUGCUCGAGUGGCGAACGGGUGAGUAACACGUGAGUAACCUGCCCUUGACUUUGGGAUAACUUCAGGAAACUGGGGCUAAUACCGGAUAGGAGCUCCUGCUGCUUGGUGGGGGUUGGAAUGCUUCGGCGGUUGGGGCUGGACUCGCGGCUUAUCAGCUUGUUGGUGGGGUAGUGGCUUACCAAGGCCUUGACGGGUAGCCGGCCUGAGAGGGUGACCGGCCACACUGGGACUGAGAUACGGCCCAGACUCCUACGGGAGGCAGCAGUGGGGAAUAUUGCACAAUGGGCGGAAGCCUGAUGCAGCAACGCCGCGUGCGGGAUGACGGCCUUCGGGUUGUAAACCGCUUUCGCCUGUGACGAAGCGUGAGUGACGGUAAUGGGUAAAGAAGCACCGGCUAACUACGUG